CCAAUCUGAUUCGACAAAGUUGUCAUGUUCUAGUUUCUACUGAUUGAACAAUGCCACUUAUCAGGGCCGCAGAAAUGUAUCUUCUAUUUAGCAGCUCCUGACUUCUGGAAUGAAGUUUCCUCUAAGAUUUGAAUGAUCCCAACCUACAGAUCUUGAUUUUAUUAUGCUUGGAACUUCAUCUGGGGCUGCAGUCCUAUACUUCAGCCUACAAUCAUAUGACUGUAGCAGCUCAGGAUGGUGACAGUAAUUCAACACAUUAAGAAGAGAUUGAAGAAGACUACUGGAUAUAUUAUUUCCAUACAUUGUUAUUUAAGUCCAAUUAAAUUCCAGGAAGACAUACUG